rnacentral:rRNA from 1 species
UGAGGAAUAUUGGUCAAUGGGCGUGAGCCUGAACCAGCCAAGUAGCGUGCAGGAAGACGGCCCUAUGGGUUGUAAACUGCUUUUAUGCGGGGAUAAAGGCGUCCACGUGUGGAUUUUUGCAGGUACCGCAUGAAUAAGGACCGGCUAAUUCCGUGCCAGCAGCCGCGGUAAUACGGAAGGUCCGGGCGUUAUCCGGAUUUAUUGGGUUUAAAGGGAGCGUAGGCUGUCUAUUAAGCGUGUUGUGAAAUUUACCGGCUCAACCGGUGGCUUGCAGCGCGAACUGGUCGACUUGAGUAUGCAGGAAGUAGGCGGAAUUCAUGGUGUAGCGGUGAAAUGCUUAGAUAUCAUGACGAACUCCGAUUGCGCAGGCAGCUUACUGUAGCAUAACUGACGCUGAGGCUCGAAAGUGCGGGUAUCAAACAGG